UACGGAGGAUGCGAGCGUUAUCCGGAUUUAUUGGGUUUAAAGGGUGCGCAGGCGGUCUGUUAAGUCAGCGGUCAAAGCCCGGGGCUCAACCCCGGCCCGCCGUCGAAACUGGCGGUCUCGAGUUGGAGAGAAGUAUGCGGAAUGCGCGGUGUAGCGGUGAAAUGCAUAGAUAUCACGCAGAACCCCGAUUGCGAAGGCAGCAUGCCGGCUUCCUACUGACGCUGAAGCACGAAAGCGUGGGGAUCGAACAGG
rnacentral:rRNA from 1 species